AUCGCUUCUCGGCCUUUUGGCUAAGAUCAAGUGUAGUACCAUCUAUGGUGUCAGUAUUAUUAAUCCCAUUUUAUUAUUUAUUUGAGAGGAAGAAUCACAGACAGAGGCAGAGAGAGAAACAGAAAGGUCUUAUCUGCUGGUUCACUCCCC
ensembl:snRNA U2 U2 spliceosomal RNA